ensembl:lncRNA
CAGUUAAUAAAACGGAGGCCUACUGCACUUACUUUUUAAAACUACAUGAAGCUGCCAGAGAAUUUCCAGUUUGACAACCCUGCGUACUGUGAAAUCCGGGAUCUCGCUACACAAAUGUAUGCACCGCCUGCUGUGGAAUACCUGAAGCCUUGACUGUAACACUCCUCUUUCCGCAGAACUCACAGGCUGUCCCUGCAGAGUUCUUACUGUGUACAUAGAAAUCUGUUUCCUCUACUUUCCAGCAAGGAGUAUGUAGCAUUUUGUGAUAACAAGGCCACUGUAUAUUCUCUAAAUUGAAAAGAAAGAUACCUGGUGCUUUACUCAACACUUUAAAUUAUGUGGAUUUUUCUGCCAUCAUUUAAAUGCCCUUUAUCGUUUUUUAAAAAUACGUAUUUCUGACCCAGAUACCCACAGUUGUCAGGGUCAGUCUGUUCUAAAUGAUUAAUAGAGCAAUGGUCUGCCCCCAGAUGUCCCCUAGAGUCCCUGGCUGAGCCACGUGGUCUGCCAUUAUCACAAGGGGUUCCAAAGUAUUUGUAUUACUACAAACAGCGUUACUUCAACAGGGUCUUCUUUUCCCUCUGCUUAGUAGAUCUUAGCAGCGCACAACUGAAGUCUCUUGCUGGUAUUCUUUCUUAAUGAUGACACUCCAAGUGAUGUACAAGCCUCUUUCAUUUCCAGCUUUCCGAAGGGAGAUGCCAGUGUGUAAGAAUCUGGAUGCUGCCCUUUUUGUGCACCAUUCAGCACAGCGAGAGUGCAUCUGUUACUUAGAAAGUCUCGAAUUCUAAACAGGAUGAAACUAUUUCAGUUUUAAGACCAACUGUGAUUAUUAUGAUUGACGAUGUCUGUGUUACUCCUCUGAUCUAAUUAAAGGGGUCUUGUUUCAGUUACUGUCUACAUGAUACACCUUUAACUGCUGACUUACAAUAUGCAAUGUUGAUUUCAGCCUCGUACUGUAAAUGUUCUUCACAGAGAGAAUGUGCAAUAGGAAAAUGGGAAGGGUGGGCAUAAUUUUGAUGGAUAAAAAGAUGUUGGGGGUAACAUGCUCGCUUUCUUAUAAAUAUGAAAUACGGUGUAUUUCCUUUUCCAAUGGAUUAACCCUCUUAGAAAAGGAAAGUUGAAGAUAUGUGCCUGUUUUUGUGCCUGGUGAAUUUCUCAAAUGCAGAGAUGGUAGAGAUUUUUGUUAGCCGUAAUUUAAGUGCUGAGCCCAUGAGUGUUAGGUUGUGGUUGUAUUGCUCGCGUCUCUCAGCUCGCCACAAUUCCGGCUUGUUGAGUUGGAGUAGGCAUUUCACCAACAGUGCAGGGUUUGUGUUGUUUUUGUUCUGUUUUCAAAACACUGGUGCUGUUUAGAGAAGCGUGUAGGGAGUGAUAAGAAGAGCUGCCUGAACCACAGAAGAAUGAGAAGUGUUACUGCAGUAUUGAUGCCUUGUUAUGAUUUAACUAUGCAAAUAUACAAAUAGGUGAGAGGGAAAAAUUCUUGGGUUGCAUACCUGAUCUCAUAGUUUUUGCUUUUUAAAGAAGUGCUCAUUAUUUUGUAGGUGCAUACGUAUACACACAGACAUGCAUGCACACAUAUAUGCAAAGUCUUUUUUUUUUGUUUCUUUGUUUUUAAUGUAGAAGUGAUGAAACAAAACCCUUUUCCCCCAAGUUAUACCUGAUCAAGUGGUGCAAAUAUAACUUGCUCCUGCUAAAGGAGGAUCUGGGCUAAGGGCAAACUUUGGAUUCCCGUCUUUCAGGUCUGAAGUCUUGUAUAUAGCAAACAAACCACUUACUGAUGGGGAAAUGAGCAAAUUGUGUAGCCUUUCUGGAGACCUUGGAAUGUCACUUAUGACAUGUCCUUCCUCAUACUCAGCUAAUUAGGAGAUUUGUGCAUUUGAAACAAACAUAAAGAUGGGCAGCUUGUUAAAUGCAAAUUCACUCUUUAAGUAAAAAAUAAUAGGAAACAGCUGGACCCCUUCUUAGAAUUCCUAUCCCAUUCAGUCAAUACCUUUGUGUUCUGAUUGGCCUAGAAAUUAUAGCUACUGCAAUAAAAAUGAUCAAUUCUGGAAUUCAGCCUGAGAGUAGCUUUUAGUACUGUGUACAGGGUAGUAAGUGCUCUGUAUCUGUGAAUAUUUUCUUAUAGCAAGUACUAUUCCUCUUCUGGAAAAAGGAAAUUGAGGCUGAGAUGUGUGGUGAGUUGCCCAGAGUUGCAUAAGGAAUCUCCUGGAGCUGAGGCUAAGUGAAAGGUUCCAGUUCGUUAGUGUCAUCUUCCAAUCACUAGGCUCUACUCGUAAUACGUUUGCCUUUUAAAGGAACUGAAAAACAAGUUGGCGUACCUUAAAGGCCCACAUCAAGACAGUAAGGGCUAGAAUACAAGCUGUCAUGAUUUGGGGUUGUACGUGGAUGGCAGCCCAUAUGUUGCUACCAACAUGGCUGUGCUUUGCCCAGCCUGUGGAGUGGAAGGCCAGCACAACGUGUUGGUGUGAAUAACUGCAGCAAGAGUGUGUCCUGAUCUCUCUGUUCAAAAACAUCCAACAAAGUCUCUUGAUUCUCUUCUCAACAGGAGGGCGAAUGAUACCAUUUUACAGUGUGUUGAUCUUGGUUCUGCCAGCCUGUAGUGUGGCUGACCAUUUCUUUCUUGAGGAUUGUUUUCUUUCCUUUUCUUCAAACCGAAAUAUGGAGGGCUUGAUUGUUCUUUCCUGCCUCUUAAUCCAGGCCUUUUCUGAGAAGCACCAGAUAAUGAAGGUUGUGGAAAACUGUGGAAUGCCAAUUCAGGGACAUCUUCUUGAGAUUUAGAAGAGUAGAGAUACACAAGAUGUAAAGGAUCUGACUAUUCCUAUUUCUCUUCUAUUUUAUGGGCAAGACUGCAGCUUCUGUCUUCCAUUUCACGAUCUUAGUGUAGAUACUAGGCUGUCUUUAUUUGUUUUCUUUUUUUCCUCUCCAAGUUAGGAUUAGUUCCUUAGGGUUCAAAUAAGUUCUAAAUUUCACAGAGGAGCACCUGAACCAAAAUCCUGGAUCCAAACAUCCCAGACUUGACGUGACAUUCAAAUCUGGAUCCCAACUCUGUGGCUUACUAACCUACCCAUUCAGGGUUUGUUGUCUCUGUGUGGUGUUUGUGUUUUUGGUCCUUUGGAACUAAGCUUUUAAUUUGGUUGCCAGUUCUGCAAGGACUUUUUAACUUCUUAGCGAUGCCGGUGUUCACACGCUCCAUUGCUGGCAGUGUGAUGCGUAGUGAUAAAAUUUGACUCUGUCUAAGGGUUACUGAGAUAAACCAGCAUUAUCAUUCGUAAGGGUCAUUUUCUUGCAUAGUGUUCUGAGCUUUGGAUUUGAAAAUAGCUCACGUCUGAAAGGACACAUCUUCCAACUAUGACCUGCGUCACUGGCAGAGAGUUGUAUAAUCUGUACUUGUGGAAUGGGAAGGUACAAGCUUCCAUUGUUGCUGAUGCACCAUGUGAUCCACCCAUUUUGUUUUUCCUAGAGCUGAUGUUUGGUUGAUAUAUUUUUUCAGUUUUAUAGAAAAAAAAAAUGGGAAAGUUCAGGAUUUUUUCUACAAGCUGUAAAACUCCAAUGAUUUAGUGGUGACUAUAGAGCUGUGAAAAAUACCCCAUUAUGAGGUGAUGGGCUAAAAUUGGGUCCAUAUCUCUCAGACAAGGAGGAUAACCUUUAAGAUGCAUGGAACAACGUAAUAAUUGGGAAAACUAAAGCUGACAUUUGUUUCCAAGAAAUUCUGUAAGAAAUAUCUAUGGGAAAGACAUCAGUGAUCGAGAAUGAUGUACAAAUUAACAUGUUUAAGACUUGUGCAACCAUUUCUUUAAUCUCAUACUCUUUAGUGAACGGUACACUUGUGUUCAGUUUUAUGAUCAAAAACAAAGACCAAAGAAGGCCAACCUCAUUUGAUUGUGUAUAUUCUGCCUGUCUUAAUUAUCAAUAGCUGUAAGGAUACAGUGCAAGUGAUCUGGUAACCAGUGAUUCUUGUCCUUUUCUUUUAGGGGGGAAAAACAAUUUUAAGAUGUAUAAUUUAUUGCUCAGCAAUAACCAUGUUGUUAAAAUAAUAAUAAUAAUAAUAAACAAAAGAAAAAAAAGAAAAAAAAAGAAAAAAAAAAGAAUUAGCAACAUGUCUUAAUUUCCCAAUAGCAUUAUUAUAUGUUGUAUUUCAGUUUACUGUAUAUUGUGUUUUUGUAUUUAUUUGUGUUUGGAGGUCUUGCUAUGUCUUUUUGUGUUCAAAUGCUAAUAAACAAGGACAGUGUGUAAGAGUAUAGAAUGCAAAACUCUGAAAUGCUAAACUGUGUUACUAAAGGAGAAAUAAAUCUAAGUAGGAAAUCAUGUUUCUAAAAAACCGCGGUGUGUUGAAUUUGAAUGAUUGCUGUUGCCUUGCAGACAGGGUAAGGCUGCAUCUCUUCUAUGUAUGCACAGGUAGCACUGCUCUACAGUGCUCUACAAGCCUAAAGGG